UCUAGCUUGCUAGUCGCUGACGAGCGGCGGACGGGUGAGUAAUGCAUAGGAAUCUGCCCGAUAGUGGGGGAUAACCUGGGGAAACCCAGGCUAAUACCGCAUACGUCCUACGGGAGAAAGGGGGCUUCGGCUCCCGCUAUCGGAUGAGCCUAUGUCGGAUUAGCUAGUUGGUGAGGUAAAGGCUCACCAAGGCGACGAUCCGUAGCUGGUCUGAGAGGAUGAUCAGCCACAUCGGGACUGAGACACGGCCCGAACUCCUACGGGAGGCAGCAGUGGGGAAUAUUGGACAAUGGGGGCAACCCUGAUCCAGCCAUGCCGCGUGUGUGAAGAAGGCCUUAGGGUUGUAAAGCACUUUCAGCGAGGAAGAACGCCUGGCGGUUAAUACCCGCCAGGAAAGACAUCACUCGCAAAAAAGCACCGGCUAACUCCGUGCCAGCAGCCGCGGUAAUACGGAGGGUGCAAGCGUUAAUCGAAUUACUGGGCGUAAAGCGCGCGUAGUGGCUUGAUAAC
rnacentral:rRNA from 1 species